GCGUUAUAUUUACUUAGUAUAUAUGUAUAUAGUAUUGUGCAAUUUUGAAAACGCUAAUAAUAUAAAAUUGUUAAAAUAACAAUCGCCUUGGUUGCACUUAACUAUGUUCCUCAGGACGUGCAAGCACAUGUCAUAACAAACUGUUUUCAUGUCCACUUCAAAAGGGCACGCCCCCUACUGGGACAGGGCAAUCGAAGAAAACUAAAAUUCUCUCAACUAAGUAUAAGAGCUAAGUUGACAUCACCACAAAAAAAUUCUCACUUCAUUAAGGAAUAAAUGCUUUAUUUAUGCACGCUUAUCAGCACUUUAUCAGAGAUACUCUUCAUUUUUAAUUAAUGGCGAUACACAUGCUGCUACGCGCUGGAAGAGCUUGAGCCACAAACACUACUUAGAAUUAAAUAUGUAGGAGUAACAGUAAGCGCUGUCGAAAAGUUAACGCAAUUUAAUUUAGCGUAAUAAUUGAAAAUCAAGAGCGCAAAUGAGGGAUUAAGGCUUAAGUGGAUCUUCAAGCAGUUGUUGCUGUUAAGUAUAUUAAAUAGUUUAUGGGGGUCGUGUGAGGAAGUGCGGCGGGUAGCCUGCUGUGCCCAUAUCCGCAAAACAAGUACCAAACCAAAUGUUGAAGCAUGGAAAAGAGAAAAUUAUAAAGGAAUCUUAAUACAGAACAAAGAAUUUUCACAGCCCGUUCCAGUUGUUGUCAAAUAUUUAGACUUUUGUUGUGUGCAGUAAACUCCUACAAGUGCAUAGGCAUGUCCCUGUACACAGCAUUGUUGUGUUUGUACACAUGAUUAUAAAUGACAGCGCGCCACCAAUGUACUCUCACCACAUCAAACUCGCAUAUCCACGGCUACUGUUGCUCAAAUGAUUAAUUUUAAAAGCGGCACACUAACGGCACUACAACUAUGCAGACGGCUGAGUGGUGGGAGGUGCAGAAGGAAAUUUCUGAAAUAAGAGAUCAGCGAUGAUCAUUAACUCAUUAGUUAAAAAAAAUGCGCACACACAAGUGCACAUUCGUAAGCGUUGAAGACCGUUCGCUGAAAGUGGAAAACAUUGAAAAGAACAUCGCCAUGAAGAGCGGACGCGCAUUUCUAUCGUUCUCCUACAAUUAGUUGCCAACUAAUUGUCCAGCAGUGUCAAUUAACUGGACUGGAAGUGAAAUUUUACAAAGCAUUUUAAAAUAUGUGCAAAAUAGUAUACCUACAUAUACAUAUAUUUAAUGUAUUGAUAAAUUUAUACAGUUCACUAAUUAAUAAAUAAAAACUGUGCUCACCAAACAAGUGGCUUCUUUAUACAUACAAAUAGUUAAAAUAGUGUAUUAUCAUACUACUUCUUCUUAAAUCAUUCUUUUGAAUAAUGGAUUACGAAUUAUUGCAUUAUCCGUUGGUGAUGGAUAUGCUGUGUGAGCCUCAGAGUAUUAGUCCUGCGCACUCGGAUGUCUCCAACGGCAGCGAAUCGGGAAGACCACGACAAGAAGUAAAUGCACGGGAGCGUAGUCGUACACAAAGGUUUGUUAAUUCCGCCUUUACAACGCUGCGCAGCUUGAUACCUACCGAACCGUGUGAUCGUAAAUUAUCAAAGAUCGAAAUACUACGCCUGGCUAAGAGUUACAUAGCGCAUCUAGACGCUGUUAUAGUGACAGGCAAUAGCGACAGACCGUGUGCAAAUUAUUCCAGUCAAUAUCGCUGCGAAAAUAUGAUUUCAAGCGACAAACCUAGAUCAACUAUCUGCACAUUUUGCGCAACGUUAGGCGCAAAUAAAAGUUAGUCGGACGGAGCAGUUUUAAGGUGCACAUACGAAGUAAAUAUGUAUAAAUAUACUUGCAUUCGUUAUAAAAUUGCUUGUAUAUACAUGUAUCACUCAUUUGGUAUAUAUGUACAUAUAUGUAUACACAGAUGUACUGUAUAGUGCAGUGAUUCUGAGCUUAUGUUACCAUUCGUUUAUUUGUAUGAUAUUAUUAUUAUAAUUUAUAACGGACAAAAUAAUAAUACUAAAGUGGAACUUAAUUAUACUGUCAAAAAAAAAAUAGUAAUGAUAAAGCGAACAAGGCGUAAAGAGGAUAACGAAUAGUUUGACAGCAUAUAUUCAUUCUACCUAUUAGAAUUUGGCCAAAGAAGUAACUCAACUCCAAGGCACUAAAUCAUCAUUAUCAAGUUGGGCAAAAUCCUUUUCUGCUGUUGCCUGCAUUGGCUGGACUUUCGAUGAAUUUUCAGCAUUAGAAGCGCUUUAAACAAAUAAUUUUUAUAAAUAUAUAUGUAUAAUUAAAGAGCAUGUGUCUUACUUGUUGAAAUUGUAA